ensembl:lncRNA
GGCCGCACAGGCGCUUCGAAAAAGCGCUCAGACUGGCAGGGUUGGACCGAACCUCACUGAACACGUCGCACCCCGGGGCGCCGGGGAACGCAGUGGGUGCACCUCGGGCUGCAAUUGGCUGGAGCGUGCACGUGACGCCAAGCCCCCCCAACCCUCGCCGUCCUCCUACCCACGGAAACACCAACGACAGCCUCUUAACACCUUGCGCCAAGUACCCGCCACCCGGCGCAAAGGGACGGACGGAGCGCGUGGCGAGGAAGGCGCCUGCGCCUACCUGCAAGGCGGACGGUGGCCGGCCCACGCGCCGCGCGGCUCUGGGGUCGGGAAUCCUCGCACUGCCGGGCCGCGGGGCUAGUGAUUGGCUGUUAGGCCUGGUCACGUGCCGCUCGCGGUCCGCCCCUCCCCGCUAAUCACCUGGCACCGCGCUCGAAGCGGCGAUCUAAGUCGUUCGCACGCGGAGAGGGAGAGAAGUUGGAGGCCUUCUUCUCUUGCCUCCAUGGGGUUCUAUCCAUGAAGGAGGAACGAAAAGCUGGGUCCCAAAACUAAGUCUUGCUAAAUAUAGUCCAGGCUCACCGUGGCUGCCUCACUGCUCACUGAAUGCUGGACUGCAGGCUUCACCACCACUCCCUGGUCUACACGAUUUUUAAUGUAUUGAUACAUUUAAUUCUCACCAUCAUCUUAUAUGAGUCUCACUAUGCAGCCCAGGCUGGCCUCAAACUCUGAAUCCUCCUGUCUCAGCCUCCCGAGUGCUGGAAUUACAGGUGUCCAACAGCAGAAGUGAAAUGAUUUUAACAAGGCCAUGCAUCUGUUAAAUGGUAGAGCACACACUUAUGUGUACCUGUAACAUAGGGAGCAAGGUGAUUUUCCAGGAGUAAAAGGAGAACUGGCUGGAGAAAAGAGAAAGGGGAAAUUGGGGAGGUGAGAAUAUGAAAAGUUUAGAAUAGCCAGAGUGAAAACUAUGCUUCCGAGCAUCUCCUGUCUGCACCUGUGAUCCAGCCUCUCAACUUGAGACCCACCAUCGGAUUCCUGCACCUACUCCUUCAGCCUUCUCUGGCUGCUAAAGAUGAUUCCACCCUUCCAUUUGGAUUCUGGGGUCUGGGCCUACCCUUGGGGCAGGAUUCUCUUGGGGGAGCUGAAGGGGCAGAGAAUGAUUCUGGCUGUCAGAGACAGGACCUGACAUGACCCACAAAUCACGGCAUCCUUGCUGAACCUUUUAAAAGUGUAUGCUUAUUAAAAAAAAAAAAAGUGUGUACUUAUGAUGGCCUUAGAACUGGAUUUCAGUAGACCCUGUGAUUUGUAGAAUAUUGUCUUAUUCAAAGUGACUUAAAAAGGAACAAGAGGGCUGGGAUUUAGCUCAGUGGUUCUGGAGCCUGCCUCACAAUUGCAAGGACCAGAGUUCGAUCCCUGGUACCAAAAAGAAAAAAAAAAAAAGAAACAAGAGACCCUGGAAUCUAGCUCAGUGGUGCCACCACACAAGGACCCAGGUUCGAUCCCUGGUACAAAAAAAGGAACAAGAGAGCUUCUCUCCCCUUCUCCCCCUCUCCCCC